rnacentral:rRNA from 1 species
CAGUCGCCACGGGAAUACAGAGGGUGCGAGCGUUAAUCGGAUUUACUGGGCGUAAAGCGUGCGUAGGCGGCUUUUUAAGUCGGAUGUGAAAUCCCUGAGCUUAACUUAGGAAUUGCAUUCGAUACUGGGAAGCUAGAGUAUGGGAGAGGAUGGCAGAAUUCCAGGUGUAGCGGUGAAAUGCGUAGAGAUCUGGAGGAAUACCGAUGGCGAAGGCAGCCAUCUGGCCUAAUACUGACGCUGAGGUACGAAAGCAUGUGGAGCAAACAGGAUUAGAUACCCCCGUAGUCCCUGUAUCUUAUAC